AGUUUAAAUUUGCCAUCCUCUUCUCCACUCAUCAACUGUAUUUGCUUUUCCCUUGGAGAAGAAACUAAAAGAGUGCAAGAAUGAAGCUUCUAGUGCUUGCUCUAGUCGUGAUGAUGGUGGGAUCUUGCUUUGCCGGAGACAACAAGAAAGCUUUCGCCGUCCAAAGUGAGGCAAGGAGUGGUCGGAGCCUAGCAGACGAUAAGGAUGAAAUUGACAACUAUCCUGAGAGCACUGCACACCAUGGAAUGAGUAGGGAAGAAUUCGACAAACAAUAUGGUAGUGGCAGUGGAAAUGGGAAAGGCAAAGGGAAGUAAUACCACCUAUGUAUUAUGAUUUAUGAAGGUGAAUUAUAUCUAUAGUUAAGGUGUUGUAAUAAAUCCUUAAUUAAUAGUCUCUGGGAGAUCAAUCUUAUGAGGAACAAUUUAAUUGCCAUUGAUAAUGGCAAGUUCCAUCAUAAUCAACAAUCAAAAUUUACCUGUUGUACCCACAAAAGUUGCAUAAAAUAAUUUCUCCCAUACUGAGAUCUAUGCAUGGUUUAUGUGGGCGAUGAUCCUUGCUAAAAUAGUUUGUGUAGGGCAUGAUGUCAAUGUAUCUUGUAUAAUUAAUCACAAUAUGAAUAAAUAAAGAUCUUGUAGUUUUUAUGUAA